rnacentral:rRNA from 1 species
AUGCCAGACUCCUACGGGAGGCAGCAGUGGGGGAUAUUGCACAAUGGGGGGAACCCUGACCCAGCAACGCCGCGUGAAGGAAGAAGGCUUUCGGGUUGUAAACUUCUUUUAAGAGGGAAGAGUAGAAGACGGUACCUCUUGAAUAAGCCACGGCUAACUACGUGCCAGCAGCCGCGGUAAUACGUAGGGGGCAAGCGUUAUCCGGAUUUACUGGGUGUAAAGGGGGCGCAGACGGCAGCGCAAGCCAGGAGUGAAAGCCCGGGGCCCAACCCCGGGACUGCUCUUGGAACUGCGCGGCUGGAGUGCAGGAGGGGCAGGCGGAAUUCCUGGUGUAGCGGUGAAAUGCGUAGAUAUCAGGAGGAACACCGGUGGCGAAGGCGGCCUGCUGGACUGCGACUGACGUUGAGGCCCGAAAGCGUGGGGAGCAAACAGGAUUAGAUACCCCGGUAC